UUUUUUUUUUUUUUUUUUUGUUUUUGUUUUUGUUUUGUUUUGCUUUUUUGAUUUGUUUCCUUCCCCCAACCCCUUUUUUUCUCCUUUCUUUUUUUUCUUUCUCUUUUUCUUCUUCUUUUUUUUUUUUCUCGUUUUUUUUUCUUUUCUUCCCUUUUUUUUUUUCUCUUUCUCUUUUCUUUCCUUCUUUCUCUCCUCUCUUUUUCCUUUUUCCCAAUACAAUUUGCUUUUGGCCACUCUGCACUGAGCAAAAUGACUAGAAGGAAAACCUCACCUCAAAAGAAAGAAUCAGAAACAGUCCUCUCUCCCACAGAGUUACAAAAUCUGGAUUACAAUUCAAUGUCAGAAAGCCAAUUCAGAAGCACUAUUAUACAGCUACUGGUGGCUCUAGAAAAAAGUAUAAAGGACUCAAGAGACUUCAUGACUGCAGAAUUUAGAGCUAAUCAGGCAGAAAUUAAAAAUCAAUUGAAUGAGAUGCAAUCCAAACUAGAAGUCCUAACGACGAGGGUUAACGAGGUGGAAGAAGAACGAGUGAGUGACAUAGAAGACAAGUUGAUAGCAAAGAGGGAAACUGAGGAAAAAAGAGACAAACAAUUAAAAGACCAUGAAGAUAGAUUAAGGGAAAUAAAUGACAGCCUGAGGAAGAAAAACCUACGUUUAAUUGGGGUUCCCGAGGGCGCCGAAAGGGACAGAGGGCCAGAAUAUGUAUUUGAACAAAUUCUAGCUGAAAACUUUCCUAAUCUGGGAAGGGAAACAGGCAUUCAGAUCCAGGAAAUAGAGAGAUCCCCCCCUAAAAUCAAUAAAAACCGUUUCAACACCUCGACAUUUAAUUGUGAAGCUUGCAAAUUCCAAAGAUAAGGAGAAGAUCCUUAAAGCAGCAAGAGACAAGAAAUCCCUGACUUUUUAUGGGGAGGAGUAUUAGGGUAACAGCAGACCUCUCCACAGAGACCUGGCAGGCCAGAAAAGGGCUGGCAGGAUAUAUUCAGGGUCCUAAAUGAGAAGAAACAUGCAACCAAGAAUACUUUAUCCAGCAAGGCUCUCAUUCAAAAUGGAAGGAGAGAUAAAGAGCUUCCAAGACAGGCAGCAACUAAAAGAAUAUGUGACCUCCAAACCAGCUCUGCAAGAAAUUUUAAGGGGGACUCUUAAAAUUCCCCUUUAAGAAGAAGUUCAGUGGAACAGUCCACAAAAACAAAGACUGAAUAGAUAUCAUGAUGACACUAAACUCAUAUCUCUCAAUAGUAACUCUGAAUGUGAACGGGCUUAAUGACCCCAUCAAAAGGCGCAGGGUUUCAGACUGGAUAAAAAAGCAGGACCCAUCUAUUUGCUGUCUACAAGAGACUCAUUUUAGACAGAAGGACACCUACAGCCUGAAAAUAAAAGGUUGGAGAACCAUUUACCAUUCGAAUGGUCCUCAAAAGAAAGCAGGGGUAGCCAUCCUUAUAUCAGAUAAACUAAAAUUUACCCCAAAGACUGUAGUGAGAGAUGAAGAGGGACACUAUAUCA
rnacentral:lncRNA from 1 species